UCCUGCAGCCAUAUCACCCUGCAGCCCAAGACUGGUUGCCCACUGAAGCUAAGCAGGGUUGAGCCUGGUCAGUACCUGGAUGGGAGACCUCCUGGGAAAACUAGGUUGCUGUUGGAA
rnacentral:rRNA from 1 species